GACGGAGGGGGCAAGCGUUGUCCGGAAUCACUGGGCGUAAAGGGCGCGUAGGCGGCCUGAUAAGUAGGGGGUGAAAUCCUGCGGCUUAACCGCAGGGCUGCCUUCUAAACUGUCAGGCUGGAGCACAGUAGAGGCAGGUGGAAUUCCCGGUGUAGCGGUGGAAUGCGUAGAGAUCGGGAAGAACAUCAGUGGCGAAGGCGGCCUGCUGGGCUGUUGCUGACGCUGAGGCGCGACAGCGUGGGGAGCAAACAGG
rnacentral:rRNA from 1 species